GAUGAAGAACGCAGCGAAAUGCGAUACUUGGUGUGAAUUGCAGAAUCCCGUGAACCAUCGAGUCUUUGAACGCAAGUUGCGCCCGAAGCCAUUAGGCCGAGGGCACGCCUGCCUGGGCGUCACACGUCGUUGCCCCCCCAUCUACUCCUUCGGGAUUGCGGGGGGCGGAUGAUGGCCUCUCGUGCGCCUCGUCGCGCGGUUGGCCUAAAUGCCAAGUCCUCGGCGACGCACGCCACGACAAUCGGUGGUUGCGAAACCUCGGUUGCCUGUCGUGUGCGGUCGUCGCGCACCGAGGGCUCGAAAAAAUUGCCGGGCUUCGGCUCGACUUUCAACGCGACCCCAGGUCAGGCGGGGUUACCCGCUGAAUUUAAGCAUAUCAAUAAGCGGAGGA
rnacentral:misc_RNA from 1 species